CUGAGUCGAUCCAUCUCCCUCUUUGCCGCUACACUGGUAGUUAUAGACGGUUGAAAGUUGGGACUAAAGAUCAUGUACUUCAUCUACCAGCUGCAUAAUAUACAGGCAUGCUAUAAGCAGCUCCGCAGCUCAUGUAUUUGGAUGCAAUUCCCUUAUCUCCAAUCGUUUUGAGCCAGCCUGCGAUAGUCGGAAGCUUGGC
rnacentral:lncRNA from 1 species